rnacentral:rRNA from 1 species
CAGUCGCCGCGGGAAUACGAAGGGUGCAAGCGUUAAUCGGAAUUACUGGGCGUAAAGCGUGCGUAGGCGGUGGGUUAAGUCUGCUGUGAAAUCCCCGGGCUCAACCUGGGAAUGGCAGUGGAUACUGGCUCGCUAGAGUGUGUCAGAGGAUGGUGGAAUUCCCGGUGUAGCGGUGAAAUGCGUAGAGAUCGGGAGGAACAUCAGUGGCGAAGGCGGCCAUCUGGGACAACACUGACGCUGAGGCACGAAAGCGUGGGGAGCAAACAGGAUUAGAUACCCCCGUAGUCCCUGUCUCUUAUAC